rnacentral:rRNA from 1 species
AGUGAACGCUGGCGGUAGGCCUAACACAUGCAAGUCGAACGGCAGCACAGUAAGAGCUUGCUCUUACGGGUGGCGAGUGGCGGACGGGUGAGGAAUACAUCGAAAUCUACUUUUUCGUGGGGGAUAACGUAGGGAAACUUACGCUAAUACCGCAUACGACCUACGGGUGAAAGCAGGGGAUCUUCGGACCUUGCGCGAUUGAAUGAGCCGAUGUCGGAUUAGCUAGUUGGCGGGGUAAAGGCCCACCAAGGCGACGAUCCGUAGCUGGUCUGAGAGGAUGAUAGGCCACACUGGAACUGAGACACGGUCCAGACUCCUACGGGAGGCAGCAGUGGGGAAUAUUGGACAAUGGGCGCAAGCCUGAUCCAGCCAUACCGCGUGGGUGAAGAAGGCCUUCGGGUUGUAAAGCCCUUUUGUUGGGAAAGAAAGGCAGCAGGUUAAUACCCCGCUGUUCUGACGGUACCCAAAGAAUAAGCACCGGCUAACUUCGUG